AGAAUCUGCCAACCCAGAGAGCCCACCAUCUGUGAGGCCAAACCCUCCCGCUGUGCCCGGCUUUGCCCAGAGCAGGGGCCACAUUCGGCGGCUAAGAGCGAGCAGCAACGUCCUCCGAGGUGUGCCUUUUCCCGCACUGGUGCCCCGCUGACGGGGAGAGGAAGCCAGGAGAAGAUGAGGUGACGUCUGAGAUGUGAGGUGUCCCAAGCCGCCAGCCGGGGAAGAGGAGGAAGCAGCCAAGGAAGGUGUGGACAUGACCUUCACUUAAACACCUCUCCUGGGAGACGCUGCCACGGACAGGUCCCGUGAUAUUUUUUUCCUAAAAAAUACCAGCCUGACAGACCUUGAAGCUCCCAUACACGUUGCAGAGGGCUUGGGCGCAACCGCGGCUGGAAGUCACGCGCGUCACGCGGCGACUCGCUGGAUGCAGCAGCUCCGGUCCCGCCCGUCACUCCUGCACAGCUGUCCUGGAGCGCUGGGCCCAGUACCCAGGUGCAGGCCUACCUGCCCUCUCCCUCUCCGUCCUCGUUGAGUCCUGCUGCCAGAGGCAGAAGAGACAAGGCCGGGGUCUGUCUUGCCCCUCAGGCAGCUUCAGGUGUCCCUGCCCGCGUUCCCUGCCUCAGCUGCCCUCCCUGAUCCGGUGGCAAACGCCUGCGCACCUGGAACACUCAGACCCAGGGCAUCUCCUGGGAGGGCCGUCUCCAGAGCAGGGUGCACACUCCCGGCAGACUCCGUAAUUUAGGUCGGCUGGAUCACACAGGCUGAUGGACGGUUGCAUGAAGAAGUGGUGACGAUUCCAGAUGACAGGAAGCCCUGGGGGGUGUGAGCAGAGCGGCUCUGGGUCUGAGGUCUCGGCUUCCCCCUCCUCUACUCCGCCAGGGUGCUGGGGAGCUCAUCAGCCUUCCACCCCCUGCACAAGCCCUGCGCCCUGGAUGACUCAGCUCCGGGGGCCCUUCCAGAGAGGCUCAGUUCCCGCGUGUGUGGUGGAGCCGGGAGCCUGCAGCUCAGCCGCUGGGCUUGCUUACAGAACUUGUAACAA